AAGAGCGUAGUGCGGGAAAUCCGCACGCUACGUUCUGUGGUGGGGCCGAUCAGAAAUGGGUCGGCCUACCCGAU
rnacentral:ncRNA from 1 species